UGAGGAAUAUUGGUCAAUGGGCGGGCAGGACCUGAACCAGCCAAGUAGCGUGCGGGACGAAGGCCCUACGGGUCGUAAACCGCUUUUGCACGGGGAUAACACCCGCCACUCGUGGCGGUCUGCAGGUACCGUGCGAAUAAGGGCCGGCUAAUUCCGUGCCAGCAGCCGCGGUAAUACGGAAGGCCCGAGCGUUAUCCGGAUUCAUUGGGCUUAAAGGGAGCGUAGGCGGGCCUUCAAGUCAGCUGUAAAAUCGCGCGGCUCAACCGCGCCCCGCAGUUGAAACUGGAGGCCUUGAGUGCAUGCGAGGCAGGCGGAAUUCGUGGUGUAGCGGUGAAAUGCAUAGAUAUCACGAGGAACCCCGAUUGCGAAGGCAGCCUGCCGGUGUGCCACUGACGCUGAGGCUCGAAGGUGCGGGUAUCAAACAGGAUUAGAUACC
rnacentral:rRNA from 1 species